GGUUAAGCGACUAAGCGUACACGGUGGAUGCCCUGGCAGUCAGAGGCGAUGAAGGACGUGCUAAUCUGCGAUAAGCGUCGGUAAGGUGAUAUGAACCGUUAUAACCGGCGAUUUCCGAAUGGGGAAACCCAGUGUGUUUCGACACACUAUCAUUAACUGAAUCCAUAGGUUAAUGAGGCGAACCGGGGGAACUGAAACAUCUAAGUACCCCGAGGAAAAGAAAUCAACCGAGAUUCCCCCAGUAGCGGCGAGCGAACGGGGAGGAGCCCAGAGCCUGAAUCAGUGUGUGUGUUAGUGGAAGCGUCUGGAAAGGCGCGCGAUACAGGGUGACAGCCCCGUACACAAAAAUGCACAUACUGUGAGCUCGAUGAGUAGGGCGGGACACGUGGUAUCCUGUCUGAAUAUGGGGGGACCAUCCUCCAAGGCUAAAUACUCCUGACUGACCGAUAGUGAACCAGUACCGUGAGGGAAAGGCGAAAAGAACCCCGGCGAGGGGAGUGAAAAAGAACCUGAAACCGUGUACGUACAAGCAGUGGGAGCCUCUUUUAUGGGGUGACUGCGUACCUUUUGUAUAAUGGGUCAGCGACUUAUAUUCUGUAGCAAGGUUAACCGAAUAGGGGAGCCGAAGGGAAACCGAGUCUUAACUGGGCGUUAAGUUGCAGGGUAUAGACCCGAAACCCGGUGAUCUAGCCAUGGGCAGGUUGAAGGUUGGGUAACACUAACUGGAGGACCGAACCGACUAAUGUUGAAAAAUUAGCGGAUGACUUGUGGCUGGGGGUGAAAGGCCAAUCAAACCGGGAGAUAGCUGGUUCUCCCCGAAAGCUAUUUAGGUAGCGCCUCGUGAAUUCAUCUCCGGGGGUAGAGCACUGUUUCGGCAAGGGGGUCAUCCCGACUUACCAACCCGAUGCAAACUGCGAAUACCGGAGAAUGUUAUCACGGGAGACACACGGCGGGUGCUAACGUCCGUCGUGAAGAGGGAAACAACCCAGACCGCCAGCUAAGGUCCCAAAGUCAUGGUUAAGUGGGAAACGAUGUGGGAAGGCCCAGACAGCCAGGAUGUUGGCUUAGAAGCAGCCAUCAUUUAAAGAAAGCGUAAUAGCUCACUGGUCGAGUCGGCCUGCGCGGAAGAUGUAACGGGGCUAAACCAUGCACCGAAGCUGCGGCAGCGACGCUUAUGCGUUGUUGGGUAGGGGAGCGUUCUGUAAGCCUGUGAAGGUGUACUGUGAGG
rnacentral:rRNA from 1 species